rnacentral:rRNA from 1 species
UUAGAUACAGGUGCUGCAUGGCUGUCGUCAGCUCGUGUCGUGAGAUGUUGGGUUAAGUCCCGCAACGAGCGCAACCCUUUUCCUUAUUUGCCAGCGGGUCAUGCCGGGAACUUUAAGGAUACUGCCAGUGACAAACUGGAGGAAGGCGGGGACGACGUCAAGUCAUCAUGGCCCUUACGGCCAGGGCUACACACGUGCUACAAUGGUCGGUACAAAGGGUUGCUACCUCGCGAGAGGAUGCUAAUCUCAAAAAGCCGAUCGUAGUCCGGAUCGCAGUCUGCAACUCGACUGCGUGAAGUCGGAAUCGCUAGUAAUCGCGGAUCAGAAUGCCGCGGUGAAUACGUUCCCGGGCCUUGUACACACCGCCCGUCACACCAUGGGAGUUUGUUGCACCAGAAGUAGGUAGUCUAACCGCAAGGAGGACGCUUACCACGGUGUGGCCGAUGACUGGGGUGAAGUCGUAACAAGGUAAGCGUAGAUGA